rnacentral:lncRNA from 1 species
AUGACUCUCCACUGGGCAUGUCUGCACAGACACCUCUCAUCUCCACCUCCCUAUUUCCAGCCUCUCGACAGCUCAGGAAGAUGCGUUGACUCACCUCGAUGGGUCUCUCAACCACCCCCUGACCCCUGCCCGAAAUGGACCCUCUUCUGUCAUACUGCUUUCAGGAAGUCCCGCCAGCAUUUUCUGCUGAUGUCCCAUGAAAUAAAGCAAAAUGGAUGCAAACUCCAAAGUCCAUGGAGGAAGGAGGUGUGGACCUUCCAUCAAAGAGGACUCAGGGCAAGAGAGGAAGGAAGAAAAAAAAUGCUGAGCAACUCAGGCCAUCAACCACACCUUCCAACCUGAAGCCUGGAGAGAAGGGACGUGUUUCCCAUUUCCCCCUUCAGAUCCAACCUCUGCCCUUCCCUUCCCAACUCUGUGCCCUGGGAUACUGAUGGACGUAGCCUGCACCUCCCAGAGUCUGUGACCCUCUGGAAUCCAGGUGAGUUUAGACGGUGGGAGGCACUGGCAGGAGCUGGGAGGCAACCUUCCCUGUGUGGUUGCUGCUGCAGUGAGCUGUUUCCUCCAUCAGUCCUGACUUUUGCCGGGCAGCCCCUCCACCACAGCUCUCCAACUGAACCCUGGUAUCAUCUGGACUUUAUUUCCUCUCACUUCUCAGGCUCGGUGAUAACGGUUCCUCUUCUACUUUGAUAGACUCUGGGAGCCUUUGCCUCCUUCAGGACUUCCCCUAAUGCUUCCCAAUCGGCUGUGCAGACUCUUAAUAACCCCAUGGGAAUGCACUUUCUAUUUUCUGCUAGAAGCCUGACUGCGACAAAGCAUGUGUCCUCCAUUUGGAAGACACUGUAGAUGUUGCAUCUGAGGAGAAAAUGCUGAGGGUGAGAAACAAGCUGAAGAUCUACCUGGUGGCAGACUCAGGAGAGGAAGGGGUGAGACUCUGCAGUGUUUCUGAAAACCACUCCCCACUAUAUAAUUUUUUUAGACCCUUAUACCCCCUCUCCUCUUCUGGAGGGAUUGCUGUGUAGACCUCUUUUCCUGGGAAUUUCCUUCCCCAUCAUCCUUGAAAUCUCUGCGAGUGGUCCUUCAGAGCUAACCACAGCCAACUGCCAAGAUUUCCCUGCAGGCUUCCUGGGAAAGCUGUCCCCACUGCCCACACCAGAUUGGGUGCGUGGCUGGUGCAGUCUUGGGGGGGAGGGUGCCGUGAAAGACUGGGCCCCCUAAGCUGGUCAUGCUCUUAUGCAUGUCUAGCCCAGGAAUCUCACCCAGACUCCUCUCUACUGGGGACCCUUGGCCCAGGCUCGUCCCAGUGUCUCUGUCCAGACAACCUUCUCGAGGGGAGGGGGGGAGACCCUGAGCAGUUUUCUCUACUCCGACUAAAUACUUGGCAUUUUCCAUCCUGGCUCCAGGUAUAAUAAUAUGACCAUUAUACCUAGGAAAAUAUAUAGUAGAAUAUAUGCAUAACUAUGUGGAAAUUAGGAAAAUUCUACAUGAUGAAAUUGCACUAUUAUAUACUCUAUAAUAAAUACAUCAUAUAUCCACUGAUAAUAUAACUA